rnacentral:rRNA from 1 species
AGUGAACGCUGGCGGUAGGCCUAACACAUGCAAGUCGAACGGCAGCACAGUAAGAGCUUGCUCUUACGGGUGGCGAGUGGCGGACGGGUGAGGAAUACAUCGGAAUCUACUUUUUCGUGGGGGAUAACGUAGGGAAACUUACGCUAAUACCGCAUACGACCUACGGGUGAAAGCAGGGGAUCUUCGGACCUUGCGCGAUUGAAUGAGCCGAUGUCGGAUUAGCUAGUUGGCGGGGUAAAGGCCCACCAAGGCGACGAUCCGUAGCUGGUCUGAGAGGAUGGUCCGCCAAACUGGAACUGGGAAACGGUCCAAAACCCUACGGGAGGCAGCAGUGGGGAAUAUUGGACAAUGGGCGCAAGCCUGAUCCAGCCAUACCGCGUGGGUGAAGAAGGCCUUCGGGUUGUAAAGCCCUUUUGUUGGGAAAGAAAAGCAGCAGGUUAAUACCCCGCUGUUCUGACGGUACCCAAAGAAUAAGCACCGGCUAACUUCGUG